UACGGAGGGGGCUAGCGUUGUUCGGAAUUACUGGGCGUAAAGCGCACGUAGGCGGUUUGUCGCGUCGGGAGUGAAAACCUCGGGCUUAACUCGGGGCUUGCUUUCGAUACGGGCAGACUGGAGGUAUGCAGGGGAGAACGGAAUUCCUGGUGUAGCGGUGAAAUGCGCAGAUAUCAGGAGGAACACCGGUGGCGAAGGCGGUUCUCUGGGCAUGACCUGACGCUGAGGAGCGAAAGUGUGGGGAGCGAACAGG
rnacentral:rRNA from 1 species